CUACGGUGAAUACGUUCCCGGACCUUGUACACACGCCCGUCAAGCCAUGGAAGCUGGGUGUACCUAAAGUCGAUAACCGUAAGGAGUCGCCUAGGGUAAAACUAGUAACUGGGGCU
rnacentral:rRNA from 1 species